AUGGCAAAUAAGCUCAGGUUGGAGGGCAAAGUGGCUAUAAUUACAGGUGCUGCAAGUGGCAUUGGAGAAGCAAGUGCUAGCUAGAUUGUUCGCCGAACAUGGUGCUCGUAUUGUCGUCGCCGAUAUUCAAGAUGAACUUGGUCUGAAAGUAGUUGAGUCUAUCGGAGCUGACAGCCAGCUACCGACACUGAGACGUUACAGACGAGAAGCAAGUUGAGGAUACCGUAGCUUACGCGGUAGAGAAAUACGGUACUCUUGACAUCAUGUUUAGUAAUGUUGGACGCUGAAUUUCUGCAGCGUCCUCGACAUGGACGUGAUGGCCUUCGAUGAGACGAUGGCCAUCAAUGUACGAGGCUCCGCGCUAGCUGUUAAGCACGCGGCUAGAUUUAUGGUUGAUAAGAAAAUUCGGGGAUCCAUUAUAUGUAACGCGAGUUUAGAGAGUAUCGUAGCUGGGGCCGCUUCGCUUGCCUACAUUGCGUCAAAGCACGCAGUUGUAGGCAUUGUGAAAGCGGCCGCACGUGAACUAGGUGGACACGGGAUAAGGGUGAAUGGGGUGUCGCCAUAUGGAAUAGCAACGCCCCUGGUGUGCAAAGCGUAUGGGUUGGAUGCGGGUCCAUUGGAAGCAGCAAUAUAUGGAAACGGAAACUUGAAAGGUGUUAGGUUGAGCACGAUGCAUGUAGCACAAUCAGCACUUUUCUUUGCGUCUGAUGAAUCUGCUUACACAAGUGGUCAAAAUUUAGCUGUUGAUGGUGGACUUAGUUCUAUUUUGAAGCUACAAUAGAUUUUGUCACUCUAUUGUGUUGGUAUGCUGUGAUGUGGGCCUUAGUUCU